AUAAAAUAUUCUAAUUUUUCAUAAAACAAUUUUUAUAGAACGCUACGUAAAUAAUUUUUACAGCGUAAAAGUAAAAUAAAUUCCUACAUACAGUAGCAUAAGUAGCCAGGUAUUCAAAAAAUUUAACAAUGACAUGUGAGCCCCCAAAUGACUAAAAGUAAUGAAGGCUGUGAACCUACAGUUUUUGAGGAUGCAAGUCCAAUUGUAGCCCUCAACGAAAUGAGCUAUCUACCGACUACCUUGAGC
rnacentral:lncRNA from 1 species